UACGUAGGCAGCAAGCGUUGUUCGGAUUUACUGGGCGUAAAGAGUGCGUAGGCGGUUUUUUAAGUUUGGUGUGAAAUCUCCCGGCUUAACUGGGAGGGUGCGCCGAAAACUGGAAGGCUCGAGGAUGGGAGAGGCAUGCGGAAUUCCUGGUGUAGCGGUGAAAUGCGUAGAUAUCAGGAGGAACACCUGCGGUGUAGACAGCAUGCUGGACCAUUUCUGACGCUGAGGCACGAAAGCGUGGGUAGCAAACAGG
rnacentral:rRNA from 1 species